rnacentral:rRNA from 1 species
UACGUAGGGGGCGAGCGUUGUCCGGAUUUAUUGGGCGUAAAGAGCGUGUAGGCGGUUCGGUAAGUCUGUCGUGAAAUCCCGAGGCUCAACCUCGGGUCUGCAUCCGAUACUGCCCGGCUAGAGGUAGGUAGGGGAGAUCGGAAUUCCUGGUGUAGCGGUGAAAUGCGCAGAUAUCAGGAGGAACACCGGUGGCGAAGGCGGAUCUCUGGGCCUUACCUGACGCUCAGGCGCGAAAGCUAGGGGAGCGAACUGG